ACAAGCCUGAGAAACGGCUAGUAGGACUAAGGUCUGCAGCAGGCGCGAAACUUACACAAUGCUAGAUUACUAAUUAAUAGCGAUGUAGUGAAGAAAAAUAACGAUGUACUUACAUUUAAACAUGUUAGUACAAUUGGAAUGAGACGACUUUAAACCAGUCAGUCGAGUAACAAAUGGAGGGCAAGUCUGGUGCCAGCAGCCGCGGUAAUUCCAGCUCCAUUAGCAUACAUUAAAGUUGUUGCGGUUAAAAAGCUCGUAGUUGAAUUUUGGGCGGCUUUGUAGGCGGCGCGUCCGUGAAGGCUCGCUGGUUGGACCUCCGGGUCCUCCUCGAGCUGGCCGCGUCGACCCUAAUUAAGUUGCUGUUUCGUCACUUAAUCGAGUGCGAAGCGGGGUGCCUUCUAGGGAGUCAGGUCUCCGGACCGCUCCAGGAUGACACCGUGUUUACCUUGAGAAAAUUAGAGUGCUCACAGCAGGCAGUUGGGGCGUAAAAGCUCCUUUAUGCUUGAAUAAUGUUGCAUGGAAUAAUAGAAUACGGCCUCGGUUCUAUUCUGUUGGUCUUAUAGAACAACAAACAAGUUGGCUAGGGGCGCCAAACGGCUCUGCGCGCCCGGGGUUCCACGGCCGCUAGUUGUCUGGGAGUAAAACCCCAGUACCUUCGGCCUGGUUCCAUCAACCGGACGCGCACGGGCCAGCCCCUCGCGCCAACUGAGGCAAUGGUUAAAAGAAAUAGUCGCGGCGGCAUCAGUACUGCAUCGUGAGAG
rnacentral:rRNA from 1 species